rnacentral:rRNA from 1 species
UACGGAGGAUCCAAGCGUUAUCCGGAAUCAUUGGGUUUAAAGGGUCCGUAGGCGGGCCAGUAAGUCAGUGGUGAAAUCUCCCGGCUCAACCGGGAAAUUGCCAUUGAUACUGCUGGUCUUGAAUUACCAGGAAGUAACUAGAAUAUGUAGUGUAGCGGUGAAAUGCUUAGAGAUUACAUGGAAUACCAAUUGCGAAGGCAGGUUACUACCAAUAUAUUGACGCUGAUGGACGAAAGCGUGGGGAGCGAACAGG